rnacentral:rRNA from 1 species
GAUGAACGCUGGCGGCGUGCCUAAUACAUGCAAGUCGAGCGAACGGACGAGAAGCUUGCUUCUCUGAUGUUAGCGGCGGACGGGUGAGUAACACGUGGAUAACCUACCUAUAAGACUGGGAUAACUUCGGGAAACCGGAGCUAAUACCGGAUAAUAUUUUGAACCGCAUGGUUCAAAAGUGAAAGACGGUCUUGCUGUCACUUAUAGAUGGAUCCGCGCUGCAUUAGCUAGUUGGUAAGGUAACGGCUUACCAAGGCAACGAUGCAUAGCCGACCUGAGAGGGGGAACGGCCACAAUGGAACUGAGACACGGUCCAGACUCCCACGGGAGGCAGCAGUAGGGAAUCUUCCGGAAUGGGCGAAAGCCUGACGGAGCAACGGCGCGUGAGUGAUGAAGGUCUUCGGAUCGUAAAACUCUGUUAUUAGGGAAGAACAAAUGUGUAAGUAACUGUGCACAUCUUGACGGUACCUAAUCAGAAAGCCACGGCUAACUACGUG